AGUUAAUGAGCUUGUAAAGCAUAUACCUUGAAAGUAUAAUAAAGAAAUAAUAAAUUUUCUAUUAACUU
rnacentral:tRNA from 1 species